AAUCAACGCUGGCGGCGUGCCUCAGACAUGCAAGUCGAACGGGAAAGUUCCCUUCGGGGGGCGAGUAGAGUGGCGCACGGGUGAGUAACACGUAGGUAAUUUACCUUCGGAUGGGGAAUAACAACCGGAAACGGUUGCUAAUACCGCAUAAUGCAGCGGCACCUAAUGGUGACAGUUGUUAAAGCGGGGGAUCGAAAGACCUCGCGUUUGAAGAGGAGCCUGCGGCGGAUUAGCUAGUUGGUAAGGUAACGGCUUACCAAGGGGACGAUCCGUAGCCGGCCUGAGAGGGCGGUUGGCCACACUGACACUGACAUACGGGUCAGACUCCUACGGGAGGCAGCAGUUGGGAAUUUUGGGCAAUGGGGGAAAGCCUGACCCAGCAACGCCGCGUGAAGGAUGAAAUCCCUCGGGAUGUAAACUUCGCAAGAACGGGAAGAAUAAGUAGGGGACAACACCCCCUAUGAUGACGGUACCGUUUGUAAGCUCCGGCUAACUCCGUG
rnacentral:rRNA from 1 species